rnacentral:rRNA from 1 species
GAUGAACGCUAGCGGCAGGCCUAACACAUGCAAGUCGAGGGGGAAGUUACUUUCGGGUGACUGAGACCGGCGUACGGGUGCGUAACGCGUAUACAAUCUGCCUUUCACUGGGGGAUAGCCCGAAGAAAUUUGGAUUAAUACCCCAUAGUAUAUAGGGACGGCAUCGUUUUUAUAUUAAAGCUUAGGUGGUGAAAGAUGAGUAUGCGUUCUAUUAGCUAGUUGGAGAGGUAACGGCUCCCCAAGGCGAUGAUAGAUAGGGGUUCUGAGAGGGAUGUCCCCCACGCUGGUACUGAGAUACGGACCAGACUCCUACGGGAGGCAGCAGUGAGGAAUAUUGGACAAUGGUCGGAAGACUGAUCCAGCCAUGCCGCGUGCAGGAUGAAGGUCUUAUGGAUUGUAAACUGCUUUUGUAAGGGAAGAAUAAGGGCUACGCGUAGUUUGAUGACGGUACCUUACGAAUAAGCAUCGGCUAACUCCGUG